GGACUGGUGGUGUAGUGGUAACACACCCGCUGUCAUUACCCUUGUUGUCGACGAUUUCAGCGGGAGACCCUUGUUCGAGUCAAGGUCAGGCCA